rnacentral:rRNA from 1 species
UACGUAGGGUGCAAGCGUUGUCCGGAGUUAUUGGGCGUAAAGAGCUCGUAGGCGGUUUGUCGCGUCUGCUGUGAAAACUCGGGGCUCAACUCCGAGCUUGCAGUGGGUACGGGCAGACUAGAGUGCGGUAGGGGAGACUGGAAUUCCUGGUGUAGCGGUGGAAUGCGCAGAUAUCAGGAGGAACACCGGUGGCGAAGGCGGGUCUCUGGGCCGUAACUGACGCUGAGGAGCGAAAGCAUGGGGAGCGAACAGG